GGGGGGAACGUGGACCUGCUCCUACAGGCCUUCUAAUGAGUUGCUGGGGCUGGUUUGCUUCAAAACCAAGCAGGGAGCAAAGCCAGCCUUGCCCUGAUGCCGGCUCCUCCGUCCCGCUCUCCUCACCCGUGGCGGCACCCCCAGAGCAAGACUGACUUGGCUUCUUCCCGGGGCUCCCUGCCAACCUGGCUCCGAGCCCAGCUCUGUAUCACACACGUGUGCCCCUCCGCACACGGACAGCUAAAGGCAAAGGCAUCUCUGGGAAAUCUUUGUCCCCAACAACCCUGCAGAGGGCAACAUAUCCCCCAACUCCAUUCUCAGCACACACCCUUUGUUCUAGAAUCUUCACGUUCUAUAAAUGAGCCCUUCCCAGACCCUUUGCACCACUCUGUACAGCUCUCCUCUCCACUGUGUCACACGAGGAGCUUUCGAGAGUUCUCCCGCAGCUGAGCCUUCCACAUUUUCCUUCGAGGGUCUCGCCUGCCAUCACCACUGGGUAGACGAGGUCCCCAGUCUUGGCAUCGGGCCAGCCCUGCUCCUAGGCUUCAGCCCGAGUCGCCUCUCCCAACCCAGGCUUGGUGCCGCCCUCCCAGCCC
rnacentral:lncRNA from 1 species